rnacentral:lncRNA from 1 species
GAAAAAAUAUUUUUUCCUUUUCACACUAAGCCAUGAUCAGAUUUAUUCAUUUCUAAUGUUGUUUAUUCCUGUUAUAUAAAAAGAUGAACUAUUCUAAGAGACCUAUAAUGUCUCCUUGGGGAAAAAACAACUAAAUUUUGACAUAUGAAAAUUAUCGAAAGAAUAUGCUAUGUGAAAUAUAAGGUAUAAACUCUCCUUUUAUUGGAGAACCUCAGGUUUCUGUUGAAGCACCACUUGUCCCCACUCUAGAAAUGGUGAGAUGUCAAAGAACCGAAGUGGUAAAUGAGGUAUAUUAAGGCCUCUUGCAUUAGCCAA